CUUUUGCUAAAAUAAAUGAAAUACAAUCAUAAUUUUUUUUCUACAUCAAGAGAAAGUGUUCUAGUUUCAGACACAAUAAUCUUCAACUAUUUACAUCAUUAAAGGUAUUCCUAUAAACACAUUAGGAAAUACCUCCUAAACUACAGCUAAAGAAAAGAGUGUCACUGCUUGCUGGCACCCAAUAUUUUGUUGGUUUAACUAUAUAGUUAUAUGAAUUUCUGUGUGCUUUACUAUCUUUCAGUUUGGAUUUAAAUUUUCAAUAUAAGCUUCAAUAAGUUGGGUUUUUUCCCCCCCAGUGGCAGAAAAACAAAAGGAAUGUAUUUGAGGUAUCAGGGAAAUCAGGUAAAUUUCCCACUUGGGAGAGAAAGAACUAAACUCCUCCAAAAACAAAUGAGGGACUGCAGACUGGUGUUUGCGACCAACAAAAAUUAGACUGUGAACACUUCCAGUAUAUUAAUGGCUAACUAUAGAUACUACUACUAUCCAGGAAUGCUGUUUGUAUGCCCUAGACUGCCAUGUGAUCAGAUUGUACAAUAAUUGUCAAUAAAAAUGAGAAUUUACUGCCUGAACAACAAAAUAUCUGUGUUGUAAAACUCCUCGGGCCUCAACUUUGAUUUAUAGCAAUAAAUUGCAAUAAAUCAAAGUGUAUAAGUAUGAAGAAAAAAAAAUCUCCAUAGGUAUUCUCAGAAAAAUUUUGCAAAGCCUCUCUGUGCAAACAUGUAUUGCUAUAAAUUAGACAGAGACUCCAUGUUUCUAGACCAUCCUGAUAAACAGCUUUUUGCUCUAAUGCAAGCAGGCAAAAGUGAACUUUGUUCUUAUGUGCCACAUGACAAGUUAGGUAAACCACCCAAAUACUGCAUCUGAAAGUAAUCAAUACCAGCACUGUGAGUCAGCUCUGCUGACACUAUACAGAAAAUGUUUUAAAUUUAAAUCUUUCUAUGUGCUUCAACUGGACUGCUGAAAUUCGAACUUUAAAACAGUAUUUUUAAUUCUAAAGGUUAUUAGUGUUAACUGAAUUACCCAUUUAGUGAACAGUAAACAAAUACUAGCCUUUACAAAUUAAAAGGGAAUAAAGUUACCACCAUCCCAUAUACAAGUUUUUUAAAGUAAUCACUAAGCUAUGCAAAGCCUUUGCUUCAGUACAAUCACACACUCAUUAAUUAAAAUCAGAAAUUCUGGUUAUCUGUACUGGAACAGAAAAUACAUUUUUAGACAGAUGGCAUAACCAAGCAUAGAUUUCUGUAUACUUGGUUAUAAUUUAAACACCUGGAACAUACAUGAAGUAGGCACUACUUCAUCAAUACCACAUCACUAUUAUUUCCAGAAAUAGCCUAUGACCUCUUAAAUAGUUACCUGAUUAAAAUCCAUUUAACAUUGCCUUUCUGUUUCCACAAAGAUCAGAAACAGGGUUACAAAGACAUAGUAAGAACACAUUUUCUGCCUCCCACCCUCAUUCCCCUGAAUUAAGACAAACAAAACCAAAAACCUACACGCACUCUCACCAAUUUGCUGCACCUGCAACCUACACUGUAGGGAACUUUUAUUCUUACUUGAAAUAACUUAACCAAACAAUUUUGCUUUAUUAUUUACAAUCUGAUAGAAUUUAAAGUAAGUACCCUCUCAGUAGCAAUAGCAACUGUGGACUCCUGUUUAAAUUUUUGGAGAGUGCCCAUCAACAAGCCAAAUAUACGUCGAUUCCUGAAAAAAAACAAACCCACAACAAAAAGAAAUUUGAGAUUCAGUUCAAGUACUAACUUUUUUAUUUAUAUAAAUAAUCAGAUAAACUUUCCACCUCAAGGAUACUUAUUUUUAAAGGCCCAGUAGUACCCAAGGCCAUUAGGAAUAGCAGACAUACUGACUGUGCCAACAGUCCAGGAUAUAAUUUACAGUGACAUAUCAUUUUGCUUAUGAGUAAGCCACAGCUCUUAUGCGUAACACAGAACAGCUAGCACUGGCAAAACUGGCAGCCUGCACAUUUUUCAUCUAUAAAUAAUAACAGUAAGGAAAUAUUUUAAAAAAUCUUAAAGCAGAGAGUACUGAAGAAGAAAGUCAAAUACAGCAUGAGCUAUCAAUAAGGUAGCAAACUGGGUUUUCUAAAAAUCAUGCACUUCCCUGUCCACAAUCUGCUUAGACUGUUAAGGAGAAAUGGAGCCACAGGGGAGUGAAAGCUUAUCUAUCAGAGUUGCCCAACAAUGAGACACUGCACUGUGGGAUGAAAAGAGAACUGCUCUCAUUCGAUUAGGUGUUGUUCUGAGAAAAAUAAGUAAAAUCCUUCAACAAAUUCCCUUCUUCUGAGCAAGAACUUGUUUCUUGACUUUAACCUUCAAUUUAUUUUCAUUCAAUCCCAAAUUAAAGUCUGCAUCAGGUUGUAAAGACUUUCUUAUUUGCCUUCAACCUGAUAAAGUGAGAAAGGAAAUGCUACUGUCUUCUCCAAGUACUACUCUACUACAGUGGCACAAACCUCACAUGGAAAGGCAAAAGUAUAUCAAAUAAUAGGAACAGGAACAGAUAAAAAUCAAAAACUGAAAGUGCAUUUGUACAUGAAUAACAUACCAGAAGACACAGAGCAAAAUCAGGAGUUCAGGGGAUGCUGUCCUCUUAAAGAGCCUCCCUCCACCACAAUUCAUAGGCACUAACACUGGUUUCCUCAUCUCCCUAGAGAUUACUGAACUGAAAAGCAGUUAAACUACAAGUCUGAGGGAACAAGCUUUUAGUCUGAAGCUGUAGGAAGUUCAGUAAGGAUUUUGGAAGUCUCCCUGUGAGGGAAGCAAUUAGAACCUAGUAACAGAAGACUCCAAGUGGGGUCAUAACUAAAAGAAGCAAGUAAAGUGCCAGUUUUCUGUGACAGUUGAUCUGUGGGGACUUAGAGAAGAUUUCUACAGUUCCUUAUUCCAGUUCUAAUUCUUCUGUUUAUUUGGGGUAUAACUAUCACUGCAUCAGGCGACUUGCAGUCUGAAGUAGACAGAAUCCAAGAGGUCAAACACAGCUGCAAACUUGAUUUUCAAAUACCUCUUACCAAUAGAGCUGUAUUUCAGUUAGAAUUUUAAUAGCCCUGAGAAAAGUAAAAGAUGGGGAAAAGGAGACAUACAUAGGAGGAAUCUAAAGAGCAACAGGUGAAAUGAAGGCAAGACUGUACACACAACACGAAAUCAAAGUAGUAUGAGAAAAGAAACAUGGUAGAACUAUUUCAUUUAAAAAAAGAGGCAGAGGGAGUGAGGAACCAUAUUCAAAACCCUACUUCAACCAACAAAAUAAAUGAUGAGCCAAGACAGCUGUAAUAAUCCAAGACAUGAAGCAACCAAUGAAGCUACAGAUAUUUCUGUCUUACUCAAACGACAUUAAAACAGCACUAGCAAACCUGUUCCUGUAGGUGGCCUGAAAAGUAGAAUCCAUGUCAGUUAUGUGGACAAUGCACAUGUUGCUGCUUGUGAAGUAUUUUCAGAGACAACUUUUUAAAUUCAAUUUUGUAUCAUAAUCGUAACUGUUCUACAUAAUCUUUGAUACACAACAGCUUAUGUGCAGUAUCUUUUAAAUCUAAAGCUACUUUCUAUGGCAGAAGUCAAAAGUAUCAGGUUAGUAGAAGAGAUUUCUGCAUACCUUUGUUUUCCUUUCUCAUCCAUAUUCUGAUCUUGUAUAAGGUCUCGACGUGUUCGCUCUUUGGAGGUAGCAACAACAGAAGAUGGCAACGCUGGCUACAAGAAAGAAAAACAAAAUACUUUGUUUAUCCUGCUGCAGCCUGAGGAAGAAAGACAGCGGUCAUUAGAGAACCUGAAUUUAGGAGAGAAUCUCUUCUAGCAGGGGAAAAUACAAGCAUGUCUAGUCAGAAGAACCAACACUUCGGGGAAAAUCUUCCCACUGUUCCAACAACCAAAACCACUAAAAUGGCUACUGGUAUAAUCUGUCACUGGACAGAUGUAAAUGCACUGACAUGGUAGACUGGUAUAAUUUCUUAGACAAGAAACGCUGUUCAAAUUACCUACCAAGUACCUAUGGGAGAGAGGCAGAGGGCUUACCACUUGAGACAUGGAUGAACUAAAGCUUGAACAAAGAACAACUUAAACAAUAAA